CGUUCUUCUUCUUCAUCCUUCACCCUUCUCCCAACUUUCCUUCAAAACCCUAAAUCCCUAAAUUCCAUCCAUAUGUUCUUCUUCUGCAACCUUCUCCCAAAUUGGACAUACUCCGUAAUUCUUCAAAUCAUAUGUUCUUCUAUCUUCUUCCACUUUCGAUUUUUGUUUACUCUCUCUGCGAACCUGCGAACAGAUGAACAUGACUUCGACCUCUUCGGCGCCAACGAAAUCAUAUUCUCAAGGUUGGUGAAGACAAUGAGAUCGAUAAAUAUGGACGAAAGAUGAAGCUGCUCAAGAUCAUCUAUGGUACAAAGCACAAUGAUUCCAUGUUGUAGCCUCCUUUGACAGGGGUUUGUUUCGACUGUAAGACAUAUGCGCUCAUUCGUUCCUGCCAUUUAUGACAUAACAGUGGCUGACCCUAAAAGUACUCCUGCUCCUACAAUGCUAAGACUCUUAAAUAGGAAACCUUCUGUG